rfam:Ictidomys tridecemlineatus contig074420, whole genome shotgun sequence.
UGGGUUGUGGCUCAGUGGUAGAGUGCUUGCCUAGCAUGCAUGGGGCACUGGGUUCAAUGCCCAGCACCACAA